CCUACGGGAGGCAGCAGUGAGGAAUAUUGGGCAAUGGGCGAAAGCCUGACCCAGCAACGCCGCGUGAGGGAUGAAGGCCUUCGGGUUGUAAACCUCUUUUCUGGGAGAAGAGACAAGGACGGUAUCCCAGGAAUAAGUCUCGGCUAACUACGUGCCAGCAGCCGCGGUAAUACGUAGGAGGCUAGCGUUAUCCGGAUUCACUGGGCGUAAAGCGCACGCAGGCGGUCAUGUAAGUCAGACGUGAAAGCUCCUGGCUCAACUGGGAGAGGUCGUUUGAUACUGCAUGGCUUGAGGUUGGGAGAGGGAAGCGGAAUUCCCGGUGUAGUGGUGGAAUGCGUAGAUAUCGGGAGGAACACCAGUGGCGAAAGCGGCUUCCUGGCCCAUACCUGACGCUCAGGUGCGAAAGCGUGGGGAGCGAACGGGAUUAGAUACCCCGGUAGUCCACGCUGUAAACGAUGCGAACUAGGUGUUGGUAGUAUUAAUCCUAUCAGUGCCGUAGCUAACGCGAUAAGUUCGCCGCCUGGGGACUACGGCCGCAAGGCUAAAACGUAAAGGAAUUGACGG
rnacentral:rRNA from 1 species